AGAGUUGAUCUGGCUCAGGAUGAACGCUAGCGACAGGCUUAACACAUGCAAGUCGAGGGGCAGCAUAAAAGUAGCAAUACUUGGUGGCGACCGGCGCACGGGUGAGUAACGCGUAUGCAACCUACCUAUCAGAGGGGAAUAACCCGGCGAAAGUCGGACUAAUACCGCAUAAAACAGGGGCACCGCAUGGUGAUAUUUGUUAAAGAAAUUCGCUGAUAGAUGGGCAUGCGUUCCAUUAGGUAGUUGGUGAGGUAACGGCUCACCAAGCCGACGAUGGAUAGGGGAACUGAGAGGUUGGUCCCCCACACUGGUACUGAGACACGGACCAGACUCCUACGGGAGGCAGCAGUGAGGAAUAUUGGUCAAUGGGCGGGAGCCUGAACCAGCCAAGUCGCGUGAAGGAAGAAGGAUCUAUGGUUCGUAAACUUCUUUUGCAGGGGAAUAAAGUGCAGGACGUGUCCUGUUUUGUAUGUACCCUGAGAAUAAGGAUCGGCUAACUCCGUGCCAGCCGCCGC
rnacentral:rRNA from 1 species